GCUUCCUACGGGACGCAGCAGUGGGGGAUAUUGCACAAUGGGGGCAACCCUGAUGCAGCGACGCCGCGUGAGCGAUAGAGUACUUCGGUACGUAAAGCCCUAUCAGCAGGAAAGAAAAUGACGGUACCUGACUAAGAAGCCCCGGCUAACUACGUGCCAGCAGCCGCGGUAAUACGUAGGGGGCAAGCGUUAUCCGGAUUUACUGGGUGUAAAGGGAGCGUAGACGGCAGUGCAAGUCCGGAGUGAAAGCCCGGGGCUCAACCCUGGGACUGCUCUGGAAACUGUAAAGCUGGAGUGCGGGCGGG
rnacentral:rRNA from 1 species